UAUGACAGCGUCUUAGAUGUGUAAACAGCGCUGGGCUUAGAUUUAUUUAUGAACUGGCUGUUGGUAUGUCCGAAAUGUGCGGAUCGGAUCACACAUCAAAUGGCGUCCCGCUGCUGCAGCAGACGCGUCCACAAAUAAACGCGCGCGCCACAAAGCAUCUCGAAUACAUCAAAGUAACAAGCUCCAGCUGUGCACCACAGCCAACCACAGCGAAAACCACUGACCAAGCACGCCCAGAGAGCAGCAGCAGCAGCAGCAGCAGCGAGCAGGAGCGAGGGAGAUAGAGCUAGCCAGCCAGGAUACCGGCGCCCACUGUCGCACAAAAUAUGACAUUGACUUAAUAAAGAAAUGAAAUAUCGCAAGCCAAGUGGAGCCCACUCGCCGUCGCAGAAGUCGCUGCAGAGGGGCGAUUUAAGCCGAAGCUGGCGCUAGUUGCCAUGCUGCGAUUUCGCAAAUUGUGGCACUUUCAGCUGCAAUGCCCCCCGCCUGAGGUGGCUCUCGCCGCACUCCGCACUCCGCACUCCACCGUCGAGUGUGACUGCGAGCGCAGUUGUACGAGCUGACCCAUUGAUCUUGUCGUGGCGUUUCAUUAUUUACAUUUUCUCUAACUACGGCAGAGCAGUUAGUGAGCAGCAAAAGAAUCUUAAUUGGAUUAGCUUCAGGUGAAGCGCCUUCUGCAUGGCCAGCCAGCCUCGUUUUAACUAGCCUCAGGCUCUAACUAACAGCAGCCUCUCUCUAACAGUUAAUUAACUGGCUUUAACUAUCUUUGAUGCGGACUCGGAGGCUGCUUAACUGAUUUGUGUUCUGCCUGCGACAUGGAUGAAAACUAUCGAAAUCUGGCUUCAACCAUAUAUACUCAUAUAUGAAAAUGGAGCUAACGCAAUAAUAAUUUUAAUUAUAUACUCAAAUCUGGUGCAUAAAAAUGUAAUUAAGGCUUCUUAAAUAUUGUAUACUCAUAAAAGAAUUUGUUGAUAUAAAGAGUGCUUAUUCUAUGCAAAUAUUUUUAGUGGAAGCUAAAGAACAGCCAAUUGUUGACUGGCUUUUUAGCACUUCU